CAGAAUACUAACAGGUAUGAAUGGUGUAG
rnacentral:piRNA from 1 species